GCUGGAAUAUAACAGUGUUAGAUGGCCAUUGCCUGGAAUAUUCCAGAGUGGAACACAAUUAGAAGUCACUGUAAUAGCGCCACCCCACCAAACAAUCAUAUAUUUCGGCCUCCGAGACGAACUUUCAAGGGAUUUGAUGCAUUUCAAUAUUUUUGGUAACAAAGCAAUUCUAGACGAACAUAACAGUGCAGCAGAAUGGCAAGGUGCACGGGACCUAGGAAUUUUUGAAGAUUUCAAUGACAGUAAACUUUUCAAGAUGGUAUAUGUUGCGGGAG